rnacentral:rRNA from 1 species
GAUCCUGGCUCAGGAUGAACGCUGGCGGCGUGCUUAACACAUGCAAGUCGAACGAAGUUUAAGGAGCUGCUUUUAAACUAGUGGCGGACGGGUGAGUAACGCGUGGGUAACCUGCCUUUCACGAGGGGGAUAACAGUUAGAAAUGACUGCUAAUACCGCAUAAGCGCACAGGACGGCAUCGUCUAGUGUAGAAAAACUCCGGUGGUAGAAAGAUCGGACCCGCGUCUGAUUAGCUAGUUGGUGAGGUAACGGCUCACCAAGGCGACGAUCAGUAGCCGGCCUGAGAGGGUGAACGGCCACAUUGGGACUGAGACACGGACCCAAACUCCUACGGGAGGCAGCAGGUGGGGAAUAUUGCACAAUGGGGGAAACCCUGAUGCAGCCGACGCCGCGUGAGUGAAGAAGUAUUUCGGUAUGUAAAGCUCUAUCAGCAGGGAAGAAAAUGACGGUACCUGACUAAGAAGCCCCGGCUAACUACGUGCCAGCAGCUGC